GUGCUUCGGGGGCAACGUAUACUAAAAUUGGAAGUAUACAGAGAAGAUUAGCAUGUCCCCUGUGCAAGGAUGAUCACACGUAAAAUUCGUGAAGCUUUCCAUAUAAAA